GGCGGAAGUGAGCGACGGACCGCUCAGCUGCCUGUAAAGCAGUGGCCUCGUGCAGCCCUGGUUCGACCCCAGGUUCCGCCACCA
rnacentral:tRNA from 1 species